UUGGUUACAGAUAUAAUAUCUCUGAUGUGAGAACAUAUUAAUCUCUCAUAAGUUGAAUUUUAUUACUGCAAUAGAAUGCCAUUUUAUAAUUUUUAUGUUCUGGAAAAAUUCAAGGAUUGGUCUAGCAAUAAUAUUGGAGAGAACUCAGUGUCUGAUACUACAUUUUACUUUGUCGUUGGAAAAAGACAACCUUCAUAUUUCUGAUGUAUAAUGUGGUGGUAUUCCUUAUUCACAAUUACCUUUCCUCUAAAAUUUAUAAAUCCCUGUUGUGAAUGAUAUAAAAGUUUUUGGGAUUUCACUAGAAAUGUGUUAGUAGUGUGAGUACUCUCGGUUCUUGGUAGUCCUAUUCUAACUACUUUUUAUUUAUUAUUUUGCAAUUGAGAUGAUAAUGGUAGUGCAAACCCUGAAAUUAUGUAAAAUUCUCUUAUUUUAGGCACUUGUAGGAGGAUCCAUGGUAGGUUAUAGUCCCAAGGGAAUGCAACUGCUCAAGACUCAUUGGUGUGGUUGGGUUUUGAUUCUUUAUUCCUUCUGAUGUUUUGAUCAUUAUGCUUAUUGAUAUAGCAAGCACUGACACACAGUUGCACAAUCACAAUAUAGAGAAAAGAAAAAAAAAAGGAUAUAAAUAGUAGACAAGUGCAAGC
rnacentral:misc_RNA from 1 species